rnacentral:rRNA from 47 species
UUAAGUGACGAUAGCCUAGGAGAUACACCUGUACCCAUGCCGAACACAGCAGUUAAGCCCUAGAACGCCGGAAGUAGUUGGGGGUUGCCCCCUGUGAGAUAUGGAAGUCGCUUAGC